rnacentral:rRNA from 1 species
AACUAUAACGGUCCUAAGGUAGCGAAAUUCCUUGUCGGGUAAGUUCCGACCUGCACGAAUGGCGUAAUGAUGGCCACGCUGUCUCCACCCGAGACUCAGUGAAAUUGAAAUCGCUGUGAAGAUGCAGUGUACCCGCGGCUAGACGGAAAGACCCCGUGAACCUUUACUACAGCUUGGCACUGAACAUUGACCCUACAUGUGUAGGAUAGGUGGGAGGCUUUGAAGCACGUACGCCAGUAUGUGUGGAGCCGUCCUUGAAAUACCACCCUUGUAGUGUUGAUGUUCU